rnacentral:rRNA from 1 species
UACGUAGGGUGCAGGCGUUAAUCGGAAUUACUGGGCGUAAAGCGUGCGCAGGCGGUUUGUUAAGACAGAUGUGAAAUCCCCGGGCUUAACCUGGGAACUGCGUUUGUAACUGGCAAGCUAGAGUGUGGCAGAGGGGGGUGGAAUUCCAAGUGUAGCAGUGGAAUGCGUAGAUAUUUGGAGGAACACCAAUGGCGAAGGCAGCCCCCUGGGUUAACACUGACGCUCAUGCACGAAAGCGUGGGGAGCAAACAGG